GCCGGGUGUGGUGGCUCAUACCUGUAAUCCCAGCACUUUGGGAGGCCGAGGUGGGUGGAUCACCUGAGGUCAGGAGUUCAAGACCAGCCUGGCCAACAUGGUGAAACCCCGUCUCUA
rnacentral:SRP_RNA from 2 species